rnacentral:misc_RNA from 1 species
AACCUACUACUUGUGUGUAUUAGAGGACUCUGAACUGCUGUCAAAUUGAAUGCAGAAAACGAGGCAUCUGCUCAGUGUUGAACAUCUGAAGUCCUCGCGGUUCCUGAAGUGGUUCAGGAGCUUCCAUUAACUUCGCCUGUGGAUGACUUCAGGCAGCCUCGUUACAGCAGCGGUGGUAACUUUGAGACACCUUCAAAAAGAGCACCUGCAAAGGGAAGAGCAGGAAGGUCAAAGAGAACAGAGCAAGAUCACUAUGAGACAGACUACACAACUGGCGGCGAGUCCUGUGAUGAGCUGGAGGAGGACUGGAUCAGGGAAUAUCCACCUAUCACUUCAGAUCAACAAAGACAACUGUACAAGAGGAAUUUUGACACUGGCCUACAGGAAUACAAGAGCUUACAAUCAGAACUUGAUGAGAUCAAUAAAGAACUCUCCCGUUUGGAUAAAGAAUUGGAUGACUAUAGAGAAGAAAGUGAAGAGUACAUGGCUGCUGCUGAUGAAUACAAUAGACUGAAGCAAGUGAAGGGAUCUGCAGAUUACAAAAGUAAGAAGAAUCAUUGCAAGCAGUUAAACAGCAAAUUGUCACACAUCAAGAAGAUGGUUGGAGACUAUGAUAGACAGAAAACAUAGAAGGCUGAUGCCAAGUUGUUUGAGAAAUUAAGUAUCUGACAUCUCUGCAAUCUUCUCAGAAGGCAAAUGACUUUGGACCAUAACCCCGGAAGCCAAACCUCUGUGAGCAUCACAGUUUUGGUUGCUUUAAUAUCAUCAGUAUUGAAGCAUUUUAUAAAUCGCUUUUGAUAAUCAACUGGGCUGAACACUCCAAUUAAGGAUUUUAUGCUUUAAACAUUGGUUCUUGUAUUAAGAAUGAAAUACUGUUUGAGGUUUUUAAGCCUUAAAGGAAGGUUCUGGUGUGAACUAAACUUUCACACCCCAGACGAUGUCUUCAUACCUACAUG